rnacentral:rRNA from 1 species
CGGCGCACGGGUGAGUAACGCGUAUCCAACCUUCCGUACACUCAGGGAUAGCCUUUCGAAAGAAAGAUUAAUACCUGAUGGUAUGAUGAGAUUGCAUGAUAGCAUCAUUAAAGAUUUAUCGGUGUACGAUGGGGAUGCGUUCCAUUAGGUAGUAGGCGGGGUAACGGCCCACCUAGCCAACGAUGGAUAGGGGUUCUGAGAGGAAGGUCCCCCACAUUGGAACUGAGACACGGUCCAAACUCCUACGGGAGGCAGCAGUGAGGAAUAUUGGUCAAUGGACGAGAGUCUGAACCAGCCAAGUAGCGUGAAGGAUGAAGGUCCUACGGAUUGUAAACUUCUUUUAUAAGGGAAUAAACCCUCCCACGUGUGGGAGCUUGUAUGUACCUUAUGAAUAAGCAUCGGCUAACUCCGUGCCAGCAGCCGCGGUAAUACGGUGGAUGCGAGCGUUAUCCGGAUUUAUUGGGUUUAAAGGGAGCGCAGACGGGUCGUUAAGUCAGCUGUGAAAGUUUGGGGCUCAACCUUAAAAUUGCAGUUGAUACUGGCGUCCUUGAGUGCGGUUGAGGUGUGCGGAAUUCGUGGUGUAGCGGUGAAAUGCUUAGAUAUCACGAAGAACUCCGAUUGCGA